UACGUAGGUGGCGAGCGUUGUCCGGAUUUACUGGGCGUAAAGAGCGCGCAGGCGGUUCCUUAAGUCUGAUGUGAAAGCCCCCGGCUCAACCGGGGAGGGUCAUUGGAAACUGGGGAACUUGAGUGCAGAAGAGAAGAGCGGAAUUCCACGUGUAGCGGUGAAAUGCGUAGAGAUGUGGAGGAACACCAGUGGCGAAGGCGGCUCUUUGGUCUGUAACUGACGCUGAGGCGCGAAAGCGUGGGGAGCAAACAGG
rnacentral:rRNA from 1 species